UACGUAGGGGGCAAGCGUUGUCCGGAUUUACUGGGCGUAAAGAGCGUGUAGGCGGCUUGGUAGGUCCGCUGUGAAAACUCGAGGCUCAACCUCGAGAUGGCGGCGGAAACCACUUGGCUAGAGUCCGGAAGAGGAGAGUGGAAUUCCUGGUGUAGCGGUGAAAUGCGCAGAUAUCAGGAAGAACACCUAUGGCGAAGGCAGCUCUCUGGGACGGUACUGACGCUGAGACGCGAAAGCGUGGGGAGCGAACAGG
rnacentral:rRNA from 1 species